rnacentral:rRNA from 1 species
CCUACGGGUGGCAGCAGUGGGGAAUAUUGCACAAUGGGGGAAACCCUGAUGCAGCGACGCCGCGUGAGUGAAGAAGUAAUUCGGUAUGUAAAGCUCUAUCAGCAGGGAAGAAAAUGACGGUACCUGAGUAAGAAGCCCCGGCAAACUACGUGCCAGCAGCCGCGGUAAUACGUGGGGGGCAAGCGUUAUCCGGAUUUACUGGGUGAAAGGGGAGCGUAGACGGCAGUGCAAGUCUGGAGUGAAGGGCGGGGGAUCAACCGCCGGACUGAUCUGUGAACUGUACGGGUGAAGUGCAGGGGAGGUAAGUGAAAUUCCGGGUGUGGCGGUGAAAUGCGUGGAUAUUAGGAGGAACACGAGUGGCGAAGGCGGCUUAUUG